GACGAACGCUGGCGGCGUGCUUAACACAUGCAAGUCGAACGGUGAAGCGCCUUCCUUUUUGGUGGGUGUGGAUGAGUGGCGAACGGGUGGGUAACACGUGAGUAACCUGCCCCCUUCUUCUGGAUAACCGCAUGAAAGUGUGGCUAAUACGGGAUAUUCUGGGUCUGUCGCAUGAUGGGUCUGGGAAAGAUAUUGUUUCGGUGGGGGAUGGGCUCGCGGCCUAUCAGCUUGUUGGUGGGGUGAUGGCCUACCAAGGCGGUGACGGGUAGCCGGCCUGAGAGGGUGGACGGUCACACUGGGACUGAGACACGGCUGAGACUCCUACGGGAGGCAGCAGUGGGGAAUAGUGCACAGUGGGCGAAAGCCUGAUGCAGCGACGCCGCGUGAGGGAUGGAGGCCUUCGGGUUGUGAACCUCUUUCGCCAGUGAAGCAGGCCUGCCUCGUUUGUGGGUGGGUUGACGGUAGCUGGAUAAGAAGCGCCGGCUAACUACGUG
rnacentral:rRNA from 1 species